rnacentral:rRNA from 1 species
GACGAGUCUCACAAACGUUAUUCGGAAUUACUGGGCUUAAAGGGCUCGUAGGCGGUUUGUCGCGUCGGGAGUGAAAAUCCAGGGCUUAACUCUGGACUGGCUUCCGAUACGGGCAGACUAGAGGUAUGCAGGGGAGAACGGAAUUCCUGGUGUAGCGGUGAAAUGCGCAGAUAUCAGGAGGAACACCGGUGGCGAAGGCGGUUCUCUGGGCAUUACCUGACGCUGAGGAGCGAAAGCGUGGGGAGCGAACAGG